CGAGUUGGUCGGGUAGCGGCUCCGAGUAAUCGGGGAGGAAAGUCCGGACUUCAUAGGGCACAGUGCCUUGCGCAAGCAAGGGCGGGGCGACCCGACGGAAAGUGCAACAGAAACAAACCGCCGCAAGGCAAGGGUGAAAUCGUGAGGUAAGAGCUCACGCCGGUCCGUCGUAAGGCGGCCGGGGGCAAACCCCACUGGAAGCAAGGCCAAAUAGGGGCGGGAUGAUGCGGCCCGCGGACCGCCCGGGUUGGCCGCGUAGAUAAAUCGCUGCACAAAAACAGAAUCCGGCUUACAGACCGACUCGCAUU
rnacentral:RNase_P_RNA from 1 species